UUUGCAGAAGUUUCAUCCUGAUGACCAUGGACCACUUGGAAUUACAACUACCUGUCUUGAAACAUUUAUUAAAAGCUGUGCUGGCUACUCUGUCAUUACAUACAUAUUGGGCAUUGGAGACCAGUAAUCAUUUAGUCAUUUACAUUAAAAUUUUGAGAUAUGCAUCUUGCCACUUAGAUGAGCACUUCUACCUUUUCAUUUCAUAGUAAGACUAUGGGGUAGGGUGGCUUGGGGAGAACAAAUUUGCAAUUACUAUAAACCUUGAUAUUAAGUUUUCUUUGGUGUUUUGUGUAGAAAUAAAAUCUUCAUAGUCCUGGCUUUAGAAGAUGUAAGAUGAAUUCAGAAUUGUAAGUUUUGUAAUGCAAACUGUAAUUCCUUUUUGAGGUGCAUAAUUAUGUUUUAUGGAUAACUUUUGCAUGAAGUUUAAGUUUGGAGAGAGAAAAGAUUGGUGCUUCUUCACAAUGUAGAACAGACAAAAGUCAUUUUGCCAUUCGCUUCCUUCCUAGGGUCAUUUAUCUUUGCUUAUGGAAAGUGCACUUCUGCCUCUAAUUGCGUGAAAAUAAAAAUUAAAAGAAAAAUAAAAAGCAAAAGUAGAAAAGUGCAAAGCAGAGUUGCUGUUUUAUGCUGUAUCAUUGAUGUUUAUUCUUACAUAUGAAAUUUCAUGCCAGUAUACUGUUAGAAUUCUAUGGUAUGCGUAAUUUUCUAUAAUUGCU
rnacentral:misc_RNA from 1 species